rnacentral:rRNA from 1 species
GUGCCAGCCGCCGCGGUAAAACGUAGGAGACAAACGUUAUCCGGAGUUACUGGGCGUAAAGGGCGUGCAGGCGGUCUGUUAAGUUCGGCGUGAAAGCGCCUGGCUAAACCGGGCGAGGUCGUCGGAGACUGGCAGACUCGAGGGUGAUAGAGGCGGGUGGAAUUCCGGGUGUAGUGGUGAAAUGCGUAGAGAUCCGGAGGAACACCAGUGGCGAAGGCGACCCGCUGGGUCACACCUGACGCUGAGACGCGACAGCAUGGGGAGCGAACGGGAUUAGAUACCCCAGUAGUCC